GCGGCGUGCCUAAUACAUGCAAGUCGAGCGAGCGGAACUAACAGAUUUACUUCGGUAAUGACGUUAGGAAAGCGAGCGGCGGAUGGGUGAGUAACACGUGGGGAACCUGCCCCAUAGUCUGGGAUACCACUUGGAAACAGGUGCUAAUACCGGAUAAGAAAGCAGAUCGCAUGAUCAGCUUUUAAAAGGCGGCGUAAGCUGUCGCUAUGGGAUGGCCCCGCGGUGCAUUAGCUAGUUGGUAAGGUAAAGGCUUACCAAGGCGAUGAUGCAUAGCCGAGUUGAGAGACUGAUCGGCCACAUUGGGACUGAGACACGGCCCAAACUCCUACGGGAGGCAGCAGUAGGGAAUCUUCCACAAUGGACGCAAGUCUGAUGGAGCAACGCCGCGUGAGUGAAGAAGGUUUUCGGAUCGUAAAGCUCUGUUGUUGGUGAAGAAGGAUAGAGGUAGUAACUGGCCUUUAUUUGACGGUAAUCAACCAGAAAGUCACGGCUAACUACGUGCCAGCAGCCGCGGUAAUACGUAGGUGGCAAGCGUUGUCCGGAUUUAUUGGGCGUAAAGCGAGCGCAGGCGGAAGAAUAAGUCUGGUGUGAAAGCCCUCGGCUUAACCGAGGAACUGCAUCGGAAACUGUUUUUCUUGAGUGCAGAAGAGGAGAGUGGAACUCCAUGUGUAGCGGUGGAAUGCGUAGAUAUAUGGAAGAACACCAGUGGCGAAGGCGGCUCUCUGGUCUGCAACUGACGCUGAGGCUCGAAAGCAUGGGUAGCGAACAGGAUUAGAUACCCUGGUAGUCCAUGCCGUAAACGAUGAGUGCUAAGUGUUGGGAGGUUUCCGCCUCUCAGUGCUGCAGCUAACGCAUUAAGCACUCCGCCUGGGGAGUACGACCGCAAGGUUGAAACUCAAAGGAAUUGACGGGGGCCCGCACAAGCGGUGGAGCAUGUGGUUUAAUUCGAAGCAACGCGAAGAACCUUACCAGGUCUUGACAUCUAGUGUCAUUUGUAGAGAUACAAAGUUCCCUUCGGGGACGCUAAGACAGGUGGUGCAUGGCUGUCGUCAGCUCGUGUCGUGAGAUGUUGGGUUAAGUCCCGCAACGAGCGCAACCCUUGUUAUUAGUUGCCAGCAUUAAGUUGGGCACUCUAAUGAGACUGCCGGUGACAAACCGGAGGAAGGUGGGGAUGACGUCAAGUCAUCAUGCCCCUUAUGACCUGGGCUACACACGUGCUACAAUGGGCAGUACAACGAGAAGCGAGCCUGCGAAGGCAAGCGAAUCUCUGAAAGCUGUUCUCAGUUCGGACUGCAGUCUGCAACUCGACUGCACGAAGCUGGAAUCGCUAGUAAUCGCGGAUCAGCACGCCGCGGUGAAUACGUUCCCGGGCCUUGUACACACCGCCCGUCACACCAUGGGAGUCUGCAAUGCCCAAAGCCGGUGGCCUAACCUUCGGGAAGGAGCCGUCUAAGGCAGGGCAGAUGACUGGGGUGAAGUCAU
rnacentral:rRNA from 1 species